UAACAGUAGAAAUUAAGAGAGACAAGCCCCAGGACCUUGAUUUCACCAGAUGUGAUUCUGUUCCCAGAGCUGUCAAUCUCAUGACCCCAGAGCUCCGCCUUUGGGCUGAGGGUCCAAAGCUCCUGCGGUGGUGAGCAUAGGUCGCUGUGGUGGUGAGCAUAGGUCGAGGCUCCAGCCCUUGCUUCAUAACCCAGGGCCAAUGAGAGAACUUGAGAAUAUUUGUAAAGGAAGCUAAGCAUUCCUGAAGUGGUAAAAAAACACAAGAAUUCUGUCAUUACUUUUUAGUAACACGUCCUCACAAAUGUCCACGUGCCCUCAUGACUCCCUAAUGGGCAGUAGGGAAAACAAACUUAUUUUCCAGGUCUGCUUAACUUUCUAAACAAAAAUAAACAUGCUGAAAAGGAUGUUCUGCCUCUUAAGGUGAUAUCACAGGCCGCUUCUCUGUGUUAAAUAAUCUAGAAGUUAGGGGGCUGGGUCAUAUUUACCAUGUAUAGUGUUACGAGCAGUUAAAUUUUAUGGCUAUAUUUGUAAAAUCUGUUCUUUUAUAUUUCAUGUCAAAUCAAGAAAUUUAUUUCUUCACUGUUGUACCUGUGGAAAUACAAGCCAUUUUACAGGGGAAAAAAAAUCUCCAAAAGCUAUUAAACGAAUCUCACCAUGUUUGUAAGCUGUCUUCAGACUUUUGUUAUCACUGGCUUCACGGGGACAUUCGGCAGGACGUGGAGGCAGACGUAGACUUUAAUUGUACAUUUCUGGAGCUUCCCACCUGAGUCCCAGACAGGAUUGUUGUUUCCUUAUACUCUACGCACUGCAUUCUUACGUCCGUGGUCUGAAAUCUCCCAAAUUUUUUAUUAAAGAAACUUGGAUUUAUUAAGGAAACUCC
rnacentral:lncRNA from 1 species